GGGCCGGGCCGGCACCGCAGUCUCCGCACGACCCGACGCACUUCCUCCCGCCCCAAGGACGCCGCAGCCGGUUGGGUAGCUGCGCGAGUCGGCCAUAAGGACGGGCGCCGGAAGGUGGCCAGUGGCGUUCCCCCGUGUUCGUCGCUGGUCGUUAUCCAGCUCGUCCGUGGCGCGACACCCGACCGAGGUCGAAGGGUCCCGGUUAGGACCUUGCCGUCCCCUCCCCCGUGGUAGAGCGGGCGCUCCAGCAGGCGAUUGCCCCUGCGGUCGAACCACUCUUCGAGUGGCCGGUCCUCGGGUGGCGCCGUUGGUGAGGAUGCGUCCCGCGCGGGGUUCGGAAGGCUCGCGGCGAGUAGGUCGGUCACCCACCCGACCCGUCUUGAAACACGGACCAAGGAGUCUAACAUGUGCGCGAGUCACGGGGUCUUGUUCAGGCCCAGAGGCGCAAUGAAAGUGAAGGUCGGCCUCGAUGCCGACCGCGUUGGGACUCUCC
rnacentral:rRNA from 1 species